GCCCGGGUGCCGGAACCGGCAGACGGAGGGGCCUUAAAAGCCCUGGCCCGAUGAGGGCGUGUGGGUUCGACUCCCACCCCGGGCACCG
rnacentral:tRNA from 1 species